CGCAACAGAAAAUAUAAAGCUUCUCCGAUUAACCGUUUAGGUGCAGAUCCCAAUGUAUAACGUCUGUGUGUUCCUAUAAGGACUAGAUUCUCUAGCCCUGUAGUGCAGCCAUACAUUAUAGACGCAGCUGCAAGUGCUCAAAGAUUAAACACUAUUUUCCGAAAGCCCGAGCCCCCAGCCUGAGAGGAAGGUGGGGAUGGGCUGGGGAUAGAGUCUCUCGAAUGUUACUCCUAUAGUUUCAAGGACAUCUUGCUGAUGAGGAUUUGGUUAAUGGAGGAGAACUUAUGUCCUAGCGGUGACGUCAUUGGGUCCCAAUGUAAUCCUCUUGUGCUGAACCCAAUCAGCAGAUGUGCUGAGAGCCUGGACGGAGGGAAGAAGCGCUAAUCCUUUAGACUGGAUGAGAUCAGCUGAAACAGCCAGGACUAGACCCAAAAACCCCUCUGCUAGGAAGAUCAAGAGAAAAGGGAUAAAUUGAGAGAGACGCCUCAUAACCCCUUUAAAGAGCUUUGGAGAAGAGAAGAGCAGGAGAAUGGAAAGAUGCGUGGUGCACCCAUACAAGUUCAACUGGCUUUUUCCACGCCGAGCGGGAGCCUGAUUUUCACUCUGAUGAGGUCUUUCUUCAUUGUUCCAGGGGGAGGAAGAGAGAGAGAGGUCUAAAAAUUCAAAAGAUAAUGAGAGACUAGGCGCUUUUCUUAUUCAUCUCUAGCCCGCAUACACAAAACAAGCAUGCUGAACCACGGGAGGGCGUCCGCACUGGAUCUGAAAGGACGCGGAGUUUCUGCCGCCUAGCCACAGAGGGCUGCUUCCAUUGGAAUGGCACCUGUUUCCAUGAUUUUCCUGUCUUCUAUUCCAGUCUGACUUUACUUUGGAAACCCUUUGGAGUUUGGCAGGACAAGUAGCCACUGCCUCCCUGUGAGCAACUAACAAGAGCUGCUGUCACAGUCUCUCACCCAAUGUCAACUCAGCACCUUCUGCUGCUCUUAUUGUUGACAUCAGCUCUCUGCAGGUUCUGAGACGGGGUGACACUAGAACAGUGAGUGACAAACGAAGUACCAUGGGACAAGAAGAAAGGGCACAUUACCCAGGCAAGUUGGAGAGUUUUUCCAAAUGGGAUUUCACUGGUCUAUAAUAAAUGUUCCAGUCGUAAAAGUGGAGAGUCUCAGUGCUUAAAGAAACACAGGAAUAAAUAGUUACCAAAGCAAAAAG